rnacentral:rRNA from 7 species
GGGUUGUGAGGUUAAGCGACUAAGCGUACACGGUGGAUGCCCUGGCAGUCAGAGGCGAUGAAGGACGUGCUAAUCUGCGAUAAGCGCCGGUAAGGUGAUAUGAACCGUUAUAACCGGCGAUUUCCGAAUGGGGAAACCCAGUGUGAUUCGUCACACUAUCAUUAACUGAAUCCAUAGGUUAAUGAGGCGAACCGGGGGAACUGAAACAUCUAAGUACCCCGAGGAAAAGAAAUCAACCGAGAUUCCCCCAGUAGCGGCGAGCGAACGGGGAGGAGCCCAGAGCCUGAAUCAGCAUGUGUGUUAGUGGAAGCGUCUGGAAAGGCGCGCGAUACAGGGUGACAGCCCCGUACACAAAAGCGCAUGUGCUGUGAGCUCGAUGAGUAGGGCGGGACACGUGGUAUCCUGUCUGAAUAUGGGGGGACCAUCCUCCAAGGCUAAAUACUCCUGACUGACCGAUAGUGAACCAGUACCGUGAGGGAAAGGCGAAAAGAACCCCGGCGAGGGGAGUGAAAAAGAACCUGAAACCGUGUACGUACAAGCAGUGGGAGCACAGGUUUACCUGUGUGACUGCGUACCUUUUGUAUAAUGGGUCAGCGACUUAUAUUCUGUAGCAAGGUUAACCGUAUAGGGGAGCCGGAGGGAAACCGAGUCUUAACCGGGCGUUAAGUUGCAGGGUAUAGACCCGAAACCCGGUGAUCUAGCCAUGGGCAGGUUGAAGGUUGGGUAACACUAACUGGAGGACCGAACCGACUAAUGUUGAAAAAUUAGCGGAUGACCUGUGGCUGGGGGUGAAAGGCCAAUCAAACCGGGAGAUAGCUGGUUCUCCCCGAAAGCUAUUUAGGUAGCGCCUCGUGAAUUCAUCUCCGGGGGUAGAGCACUGUUUCGGCUAGGGGGCCAUCCCGGCUUACCAACCCGAUGCAAACUGCGAAUACCGGAGAAUGU